AGUGAACGCUGGCGGUAGGCCUAACACAUGCAAGUCGAACGGCAGCACAGUAAGAGCUUGCUCUUACGGGUGGCGAGUGGCGGACGGGUGAGGAAUACAUCGGAAUCUACUUUUUCGUGGGGGAUAACGUAGGGAAACUUACGCUAAUACCGCAUACGACCUACGGGUGAAAGCAGGGGAUCUUCGGACCUUUCGCGAUUGGAUGAGCCGAUGUCGGAUUAGCUAGUUGGCGGGGUAAAGGCCCACCAAGGCGACGAUCCGUAGCUUGUCUGAGAGGAUGAUCAGCCACACUGGAACUGAGACACGGUCCAGACUCCUACGGGAGGCAGCAGUGGGGAAUAUUGGACAAUGGGCGCAAGCCUGAUCCAGCCAUACCGCGUGGGUGAAGAAGGCCUUCGGGUUGUAAAGCCCUUUUGUUGGGAAAGAAAAGCAGCAGGUUAAUACCCCGCUGUUCUGACGGUACCCAAAGAAUAAGCACCGGCUAACUUCGUG
rnacentral:rRNA from 1 species